GAGGGCUCGAUGGUCCAUAAAGAUGACCAAUAUGGUCGACACCCAAGUAGUGUAGUAUUAAAGCGUCCCAAGAAUGCGAUAAAGAUGAUGGAAGGGCAUGAUCGAAAUUUCUGGUAACAUUGUUAUCGACUUCAGUAUAAUCUGAUACAAAAAAGCUUGUUGUACCUUCAAACUUUGAGAAGGCGCUUGGAAAAAGUUUAAGCCAUGUAUCAUCUCCAUAAAACUCAAUCUUCUUAUUGAAGGAAUUGAGUUGAUACACCCAACUGUCCUGAGCCUCAAUGCUUGAACCAGUAUCCGAUUCUGCGAUAUUCAAAAGCACAUCCAAAAAUCCGGGUAUAGUACCGGUGGUUAAAGCUUUCAGUCUGGGCAUUGUAACGGUAGGGGAACGAGCAAAAGCAGAAAAUCCAAUACCAUGGGUAGAAUUAUAAAGAAGGGAUUGAGUAAAAGGCAUGUUAUGUGACUUUGAAAAAACGAAAUCUGCUCUCAAAGCAUCGACCAUCACGAACACAACUUGAUCAAUUACAGCAGGCGGAGAAAAUUGAUUAGACAUUGCCUUGCCGGUAGAGUCAUUUUUGUGAGGAAAGAAUCCUAAAAGAAAAAGGAUCGAUCCAAAAAUUUGAAGCCAGAAGAUACCAAAAAAUGCAAACCUCAUCUUAUUCUUUUUGGUAGCUACCUUCGCACUAAUUGGGAUCUUUGAAGCUUUGAUUUCAAUGUAUUUGAUCACGUGGGGGAUUAAUGACAACGACUGGCCAACAGAAACGAAAUAGUUAGUAUUCUAAGCGAUGAUGUUAAAGCUUUAAUGUCUAGCUUGCCGUGAUUUUUCCUGAAAUAUUUCUAAAGCCUUCUAAACAAUAUAUAAAUUAAAGGUUCAAUUUUACCAGUUAAAAAUGAAUCAAUUAACGACAAAGAUUAGUUGGAAGAAUGUUGUGUUCAUGCCAGACGUAUAUGUAAAUAAACAAAUGUCGUUUCCGUGGCAGUCUGUCCCCGUUAAUUUAUAAUAUUAUUUCCAUAAGCGGUAUUAUUAUGAGAAUUAAACAAAUAUUAGAGCCAAUAAGUGGUAUCAAAG